CCUACGGCAGGCAGCAGUGGGGAAUUUUGGACAAUGGGCGCAAGCCUGAUCCAGCCAUUCCGCGUGAGUGAAGAAGGCCUUCGGGUUGUAAAGCUCUUUCGCAAGAGAAGAAAACUUACUUUCCAAUAAAGAGUGAGGUUGACGGUAUCUUGAUAAGAAGCACCGGCUAACUACGUGCCAGCAGCCGCGGUAAUACGUAGGGUGCGAGCGUUAAUCGGAAUUACUGGGCGUAAAGCGUGCGCAGGCUGUUUUGUAAGUCAGAUGUGAAAUCCCCGAGCUCAACUUGGGAACUGCGUUUGAAACUACAAGACUAGAAUAUGUCAGAGGGGGGUAGAAUUCCACGUGUAGCAGUGAAAUGCGUAGAGAUGUGGAGGAAUACCAAUGGCGAAGGCAGCCCCCUGGGAUAAUAUUGACGCUCAUGCACGAAAGCGUGGGGAGCAAACAGGAUUAGAUACCCUGGUAGUCCACGCCAUAAACGAUGUCUACUAGUUGUUGGUGGAGUAAAAUCCAUGAGUAACGCAGCUAACGCGUGAAGUAGACCGCCUGGGGAGUACGGUCGCAAGAUUAAAACUCAAAGGAAUUGACGG
rnacentral:rRNA from 1 species